rnacentral:tRNA from 1 species
UCUAAUUUAACAUAUAUUAAUGUGAAAGAUAGUAAGCGUGUUAUUUUUUUUGUUCAUUAGGGGUGUUUACACCUAAUAUUGUAAA